rnacentral:rRNA from 1 species
ACGCCGGCGGCGUGCCUAACAUAUGCAUGUCGAAAGGACUUAAAACGAAACCUAUUCAAUUAUAAAUUACCGGCGAACGGGUGACUAACGCGUGAAAAACCUGCCGUAUACUGGCCGAUAACCCUUAGAAAUAAGUGCUAAUACCGCAUAAGCGCACCGCUUCCCAUGAAACAGUGUGAAAAACUCGGGUGGUAUACGAUGGUUCCGCGUCUGAUUAGCUACUUAGUGAGGUAAAAGCCCACCAAGGCAACGAUCAGUAGCCGGCCUGAGAGGGUGAACGGCCACGUUGGGACUGAUACACGGCCCACACUCCUACGGGAGGCAGCAGUGGGGGAUAUUGCACAGUGGGGGAAACCGUGAUGCACCGACACCCCGUGAGUGAACAAGUAUUUCGGAACGUAAAGCUCUAUCAGCAGGGAAGAAAAAAAGUCCACAGGACUUUGGACGGUACCUGACUAAGAAGCCCCGGCUAACUACGUGCCAGCAGCCGCGGUAAUACGUAGGGGGCAAGCGUUAUCCUGAUUUACUGGGUGUAAAGGGAGGGUAGACGGCUGUGCAAGUCUGAAGUGAAAUGCCGGGGCUCAACCCCGGCCCCGCUUUGGAAACUGUACAGCUAGAGUGCAGGAGGGGGGAACGGAAUUCUUAUUGUAGCGGUGAAAUGCGUAGAUAUUAGGAGGAACACCGCUGGCGAAGGCGGCUCACUCUGACUGUAACUGACGUUGAGGCUCGAAAGCGUGGGGAGCAAACAAGAUAAGAUACCCUGCUAGUCCACUCCGUAAACGAUGAGUAGUAGGUGUCGGGGGGGCAAGGUCCUUCGGUGCCGGCGCAAACGCAUUAAGUAAUCCUCCUGGGGAGUACGUUCGCAAGAAUGAAACUCAAAGGAAUUGACGGGGACCCGCGCAAGCGGUGGAGCAUGUGGUUUAAUCUGAUGCAACGCGAAGAACCUUACCCGGCCUUGACAUCCCGAUGAAUGUACAGUAAUGUGUACAGGACUUCGGUACAUCGGAGACAGGUGGUGCAUGGUUGUCGUCAGCUCGUGUCGUGAGAUGUUGGGUUAAGUCCCGCAACGAGCGCAACCCCUGCCCUCAGUUGCCAGCAGGUAAAGCUGGGAACUCUGAGGGGAGUGCCCGGGAUAACCGGGAGGAAGGGGGGGAGGAGGUCAAAUCAUCAUGCCCCUUAUGGCCGGGGGGGCACACGUGCUACAAUGGAGGAAACAGAGGGAAGCAGCCCGGUGAGGGGGAGCGAACCCCAAAAAUACCGCCUCAGUUCGGAUUGUAGUGUGUAACCCGACUACAUGAAGCAGGAAUCGGUAGUAUAUUGUGAAUCAGAAUGUAGCGGGGAAUACGUUCCCGGGUGUUGUACUCACCGCCCGUCA